AACGUUUACCCGCACUUAAAGCGCUUGAAAAAUUCAACGAGUUACUUCCCUUAGCUGACUCUUUUGUGUAAACAAUAUGCAAUAUGGUGGCAAACUUGGCUGCAGAGCUCUGUGUUCUAUAACAACGGGGCUACAGUGGAUCAGAGCUUGAGCUGACUUGGAAGCAGACUAGUCAUGACUAUGUCGACGAUGCAGAAGCAAAAUUGUGGAUUCAGUCAAGAAGGAAAAUGGGCCUUUGUGUUUAUCGCACAGUGCUUCACCAUCCAGCAAUUAUUUACUGACAUCAGGAAAAGAAAACACUGUUGUACAAGACACAAUUAAAGAAGAUAUAGGCUCAUCUGUAAAUCAAGAACUCACAGUUUAUAGGAUACCUACCAGCAGUUAUUCACAAACAUCUGAUGGUGUAAAUUCAAGCACAAAUACAGAUGAUUUUGAUCAGAUU